CGGCGUGUAGCUCAGUUGGUAGAGCGCACGGCUGAUAACCGUGAGGUCCCAGGUUCGAUCCCUGGCACGCCGACCA
rnacentral:tRNA from 1 species